UAGGAUUCGGACCUAAUCAUCACACCGCUCUACCUUCCUUUUUAGACUUAAUCCCGUGCUCCAGACCCUUCUCAAUCUCCUUUCUGGGCCUCGAAGGUGUGGAAGUUGGAUGGCCUGGCAUUUCCUAGGAUUUAAGCCCUGAGCAUAGCGGCCGCCGGGGACAAGAAGCUCAGAGGAGACCCAGGCAUGUCUGACUCCGGAAGUAGUCGCAGAGCCGGCGGUCGCGUCUUGGGUUGCCAGGGCGCCGCCCUGGAAGUAGAGUGCGGCGCGGGGCGGGGCGGGCCGGUGCGCCUGGCUGCUGGCUGCGUCCUCCUGCAAGCGCUGGAGAGGGGCUGGAGGCGGGGCGGGGGCGCGGCUCGAGGCAUCCCUGCAGGGCGCUCCUCCGAGUCCCUCGGCGCUCCGAGCCCACAGGGAGGAAGGAGGGGCCAGCGUCAGUGACGUCAGCGACACCGAGGUGAGCGUGGGCGUCGCCAGUGGUGCUCCGUCAGUGCCUAUGGUAGGUACAGCGCCUGAGACGGCCCCUGAGGGACCGUUUGUCUGCACGGUGGGAGAGAGGGACACCUGAUGGUCUGGCUAAAGCAGCUGCCUCACUUGCUUAGUGACGUGUGGAUGAGGAUGUUUGGCCCGUCUGUCUCGGUGGGCUUGGGGUCUCACACCUGGAAGCGUUGAGGCCUGGGGAAGCACUGUGUGAGAAUCGCGCACAGCCUUGCUGGUCUCCAGUCACUACUCUUCUCUUCUAUCACCUCCAGGUAGAUGUCAGCGGCUGGUGUGAGGUCACCCACUAAGAUGCUUGCUUUUUUUCUUUUUUUUUUUGAGACGGAGUCUUGCUCUGUCCCCCAGGCUGGAGUGCAGUGGCCGGAUCUCAGCUCACUGCAAGCUCCGCCUCCCGGGUUCACGCCAUUCUCCUGCCUCAGCCUCCCGAGUAGCUGGGACUACAGGCGCCCACCACCUCGCCCGGCUAGUUUUUUUGUAUUUUUUAGUAGAGACGGGGUUUCACCAUGUUAGCCAGGAUAGUCUCGAUCUCCUGACCUCGUGAUCCACCCGUCUCGGCCUCCCAAAGUGCUGGGAUUACAGGCUUGAGCCACUGCGCCCGGCCAAUGCUUGCUUUAAGUACAACGUGUGAACCAUGCAGCCUGGACAGCGGUGGUUUGGGGGUCCCCAGGCCGCAAGCAGGAUUCAUCAGGAAAUCACGGCUGUGGAGGCUGAAAUCACAUAGUGGAAAUGAAGAGUCCCCUGAGCCAUUGGCGUGGCCCCCGUGUCUGCGGGUGUGAGGGGUGUGGGAUCGGCUCACGCUCUGGGGUGCGGCUCCCGUGGCCCCCGUGUCUGCGGGUGUGAGGGGUGUGGGAUUGGCUCAUGUUCUGGGGUGUGGCUCCCGUCGCUCCCGUGGCCCCCGUGUCUGCGGGUAUGAGGGGUGUAGGAUUGGCUCAUGUGCUAUGGU
rnacentral:lncRNA from 1 species